GACUAACGCUGGCGGCGUGCUUAACACAUUCAAGUCGAACGGAAAGGCCCUGCUUUUGUGGUGUGCUCGAGUGGCGAACGGGUGAGUAACACGUGAGUAACCUGCCCUUGACUUUGGGAUAACUUCAGGAAACUGGGGCUAAUACCUGAUAGGAGCUCCUGCUGCAUGGUGGGGGUUGGAAAGUUUCGGCGGUUGGGGAUGGACUCGCGGCUUAUCAGCUUGUUGGUGGGGUAGUGGCUUACCAAGGCUUUGACGGGUAGCCGGCCUGAGAGGGUGACCGGCCACAUUGGGACUGAGAUACGGCCCAGACUCCUACGGGAGGCAGCAGUGGGGAAUAUUGCACAAUGGGCGGAAGCCUGAUGCAGCAACGCCGCGUGCGGGAUGAAGGCCUUCGGGUUGUAAACCGCGUUCGCCUGUGACGAAGCGUGAGUGACGGUAAUGGGUAAAGAAGCACCGGCUAACUACGUG
rnacentral:rRNA from 1 species